rnacentral:rRNA from 1 species
CCUACGGGAGGCUGCAGUGAGGAAUAUUGGUCAAUGGCCGGAAGGCUGAACCAGCCAAGUAGCGUGAAGGAUGACUGUCCUAUGGGUUGUAAACUUCUUUUAUAAAGGAAUAAAACGAGGCACGUGUGCCUUUUUGCAUGUACUUUAUGAAUAAGGAUCGGCUAACUCCGUGCCAGCAGCCGCGGUAAUACGGAGGAUCCGAGCGUUAUCCGGAUUUAUUGGGGUUAAAGGGGGCGUAGAUGGGUUGUUAAGUCAGUUGUGAAAGUUUGCGGCUCAACCGUAGAAUUGCCAUUGAUACUGGCAGUCUUGAGUACAGUUGAGGUAGGCGGAAUGCGUGGUGUAGCGGUGAAAUGCUUAGAUAUCGCGCAGAACCCCGAUUGCGAAGGCAGCUUACUAACCUGUGACUGACAUUGAUGCUCGAAAGUGUGGGUAUCGAACAGGAUUAGAUACCCUUGUAGUC